GGCAUGGUGGUUUAGUGGUUAUCACUGUAGCCUCACACCUCUGGGAUUGGGGGUUCAUAUCCCACCCCUGCCC